rnacentral:lncRNA from 1 species
AAAAUAAUAACAAGACCCGUCUUAGGUUUCAUUCCCCUUAGUUAUUUAGGGGAUUUAGUUCAUAAGUGUAAAAGAAAACAAUUCAGAAGAAUAAUGAUAACAAAACAUAAAGAAAACCCAAAAACCCCUGAAGGAAAUUGAAAGGAGAUCUUCAGUCUUGAAAGAGAAUCUGACUUCUGAGAUGGAUCAAUCAGCUUUCUUCGAGUAAUUUCUUGCCUCCUACUUCGUGUGUCUCCUUUUUUGUACCUCAUAGGGUGUUUAUAUAGGCUUUAGAAUGUUUCAAAACCCUCACGAGUGGCCUUUUCUGAAUAGGACUAGACUUAGGCUCGACAGGGACCCGCCCGUGUGAAGUGGCUUAGGACGUGUUGCAAUCUGUUAAAUAGACAUGGGCGUGUAAACUACCCGUGUGAGGAAGUCCAGGCAGUGUUGAUUUCCCACGUUGGCCCAUUUUUUUCAUUUUUUAACCUGUUUCUCUCUCUUUUGACUCUCCUAUGCUCACCUAAGUAUAAAACAUGAAAUUAAAGGAUUAGGAGCAUCGAAUUCACCAAAUUUAAGGAUAGUUCAUCCAAAAAUAUGCUAAGCAUGGGAUAAAAAUAUGUAUAAAUUACGGUUUAUCAAAUACCCCCACACUUAAGCGUUUGCUUGUCCUCAAGCAAAAUUCUCAACUCACAAUCAAAAUAAAUUCUUCUCAUCUUAUAAUUCUCAUCAAUAGUAUCCCAAAAUAAUCCAUAAGUAGUCAUACAUUGAAAAUUCAACUCAAAGGACAUCAAAGUUCCAAACAUUCCAAGUUGAGCAUUUUAUCAUGAAAACAUAGAUGUCUCCCCUUAUUUAAGUAAUCACCUUUGAUUCAAAAUAUCAUAGAGUUUCACAUCCUCACUAAAGAUUCUCUCAAAUCACUCGAGGUGUUUAAGGACAAGAAAUUUAGCACUCAAUAGUCAAUAUAAAAAGUUAUUACCAUAGGCUUUCGUGAAAAUCAAAUCUCC